UGGGGAAUAUUGGGCAAUGGGCGAAAGCCUGACCCAGCAACGCCGCGUGAAGGAAGAAGGCCUUCGGGUUGUAAACUUCUUUACCAGGGACGAAGGACGUGACGGUACCUGGAGAAAAAGCAACGGCUAACUACGUGCC
rnacentral:rRNA from 1 species